AUCAUAGAAAAGUAGGGAGAGACAUCGGUUCCAUCCUAAAUUUAUUUCAAAAAGUCAUUUACACACUUAAACUAAUUAGACAAUUCAUUAUACCAUUAUUUUUUAGUAGAACUAACACCUUCUUACCAAAUCCAAAAUCAAUCAUAAAUUGAGAGGUGAAAUACACUCGCUCAAAGCCACUUUUUACAUCACAAAUUAUUUUAAAAAUUAUUUUUUAACAAAAAUUUUUAGCUCCAUCUUUCUUCGCACCUUCAUCUCUCCCGUUAUCUUUUCAAAAGAAAACUUUACCAACAAAUAAAUAGAUUAAUAUAGCAGCAGACAAAUCAAGAUUCAAGACUUUUCAACAAGGAUGGAUCGUCGAAAAUUUAUUCUUCGAUGAAGAUGAAAAUUUUUCAAUCAUUGCUUUUAGAUCAUGGAUUAGAUUACAAAGACAAAGAUUUGAGAAAGUCUCUCUCAGACUCUUACAACUGCUCAAUUUUUGCUCAAAACUGUGCGUCUGCUCGGCUGUUGCUGGCUUGCUACUCACAAUCACUCACUCAGGUUUCACACCAUGCCUUUACUUCGUAGACCUAAGGCCCGAUCACCUAUUUGGAGUCACUAUGAAAUGCUUGAAGAAGAUGAUGAUGGACGGUGCAAAGUAAGGUGUGUUCAUUGUGGUAAUGUUUAUAAUUACACGGAGAAAAUCGGGACAGGCUGCUUAAAGAAGCAUGUUGAGCAUUGUUUAGAGAGGAUAGAGCAUCACUAGACUCGCAUUAGGAUUGAGUAGUUAUUAGUACUAUGUUUGGAGUUUGAACUUAGUUUUUAAAUUGUGUGACAACUUGAAUUGUUCAUAUUUUAUUUUGGAUGCAAACUACAAAGUGCAGACUGCUGCUAGUCAUGUGCUGACUUAUAAUUUUGCUUAGACAUGUGUAAUUGUGACCUACUGUGAGUGUGUGACAUUAUAUUUUUCUUGACUUUUGUAGUUGCC